rnacentral:piRNA from 1 species
AUACAUACAAACAACAUUAAAUGGACUCAGC